rnacentral:rRNA from 1 species
UACGUAGGUGGCAAGCGUUAUCCGGAAUUACUGGGCGUAAAGGGUGCGUAGGUGGUUUCUUAAGUCAGAGGUGAAAGGCUACGGCUCAACCGUAGUAAGCCUUUGAAACUGGGAAACUUGAGUGCAGGAGAGGAGAGUGGAAUUCCUAGUGUAGCGGUGAAAUGCGUAGAUAUUAGGAGGAACACCAGUAGCGAAGGCGGCUCUCUGGACUGUAACUGACGCUGAGGCACGAAAGCGUGGGGAGCAAACAGGAUUAGAUACCCUGGUAGUCCCUGA